GGCCUCGCAGCUCAGUCGGCUAGAGCGUUGGCUGUAUUAAAGCCUUCCCCUUGCUGGCUUGGGUUCGAAUCCCACCGAGGCCG
rnacentral:tRNA from 1 species